AUUGAACGCUGGCGGAAUGCUUUUCACAUGCAAGUCGAGCGGCAGCGCGGCCUUCGGGCUGGCGGCGAGCGGCGAACGGGUGAGUAAUGCAUCGGAACAUGCCCAGUCGUGGGGGAUAACACUUCGAAAGAAGUGCUAAUACCGCAUACGUCCUGAGGGGGAAAGCGGGGGAUCGCAAGACCUCGCGCGAUUGGAGUGGCCGAUGUCAGAUUAGCUAGUUGGUGGGGUAAAGGCCUACCAAGGCGACGAUCUGUAGCUGGUCUGAGAGGAUGAUCAGCCACACUGGGCCUGAGACACGGCCCAGACUCCUACGGGAGGCAGCAGUGGGGAAUUUUGGACAAUGGGGGCAACCCUGAUCCAGCCAUUCCGCGUGAGUGAAGAAGGCCUUCGGGUUGUAAAGCUCUUUCGGCAGGAACGAAACGGUGGGCUCUAACAUAGUCCGCUAAUGACGGUACCUGAAGAAGAAGCACCGGCUAACUACGUG
rnacentral:rRNA from 1 species